rnacentral:rRNA from 1 species
AUGCACGUAAGCUUCUUCUUGGCUGAUGUUCCAAGUAAUAAUGCGGUUUUAUUUCCGGCAAUUGGUUCCUUCAUUUGGGAAUUUAUUUUUUUCGCUUUCAGUCAAUUUUGUCAGAUUGCUGGCCAUCUUUUUCUACUCACUCAUAUGCACAGCACUGUGUUUGCUAGCAUGCCUAUCUACUUCAUGUGUUCACUUACUUUAUCAAAGAUUGUGGUUCAUCAGAUCACUUGCUAUUUGAGAAACUGCUUCUGGAAAAAAUAUGGUACCCUAGAGACAGGCUCUGCCCUCAUUGCUUGGAACACCAUUUGCAAACCUAAAGCCCAUGGUGGAUUGGGAAUUCUGGACAUCACAACUCACAACAAGGCACUGCUAAUGAAAUUCCUCCACAAAUUUUUCAACAAGGAAGAUGUCCCUUGGGUCAACAUCAUUUGGGAAGCUCAUUAUCAAGAGGCUCUUCCAAGUGACAAAAUGGUUUGGUUCGUUCUGGUGAAAAUCUCCGCUAAAGUUGCUCCCACUAUACAAAAGCCAAGCAAUCUGCAAACAUAG